rnacentral:rRNA from 1 species
AUUGAACGCUGGCGGCGUGCCUAACACAUGCAAGUCGAGCGGUAACAGGUGUAGCAAUACAUGCUGACGAGCGGCGAACGGGUGAGUAAUGCUUCGGAAUCUACCCAAUGGUGGGGAAUAACCAGCCGAAAGGUUGGCUAAUACCGCAUACGUCCCACGGGAGAAAGCAGGGGAUCGCAAGACCUUGCGCCAAUGGAUGAGCCGAAGUCGGAUUAGCUAGUUGGAGGGUAACGGCCUACCAAGGCGACGAUCCGUAGCUGGUCUGAGAGGACGACCAGCCACACUGGGACUGAGACACGGCCCAGACUCCUACGGGAGGCAGCAGUGGGGAAUAUUGGACAAUGGGGGAAACCCUGACC